GAUGAACGCUGACAGAAUGCUUAACACAUGCAAGUCUUUGGCGAAGCUGUGCUUGCACAGCCUAGCCAAGGCGGACGGGUGAGUAACGCGUAAGGAACUUGCCCUGCAGUCAGGGAUAACAGACGGAAACGACUGAUAAGACCUGGUAAAGUCAGGCGGACUCAUGUCCAGCCUGAUGAAAAGAGAUGCUGCAGGAGAGCCUUGCGUCCUAUUAGCUUGUUGGGGGGGUAACGGCCCACCAAGGCGAUGAUAGGUAGCCGGCCUGAGAGGGUGGACGGCCACAAGGGGACUGAGAUACGGCCCUUACUCCUACGGGAGGCAGCAGUGGGGAAUAUUGGACAAUGGGGGCAACCCUGAUCCAGCAAUUCUGUGUGCACGAUGAAGGUUUUCGGAUUGUAAAGUGCUUUCAGCAGGGAAGAAAAAAAUGACGGUACCUGCAGAAGAAGCGACGGCUAAAUACGUG
rnacentral:rRNA from 1 species